rnacentral:lncRNA from 1 species
UGUGUUGUGUGUUCUGUGCAUGGGCAGGCAACGUUGGCGCGAUUCGGCUAAGUGUGGUGGGACGGAGCUUUGCCGUGUGCCCACAAUUUGGCACACGGCAAACACGGUUGUUUGAUGUGUGCCCGCGAUUUGGCACACGACAAAUGUUUUUCCUUUUCUUUCCUUCCCCUGUCGCUGAUUUGUUUUUCUUUUUUUACUUCUAAUCUUUGCCAUGUGCCCCUAGGCACCAGCACAUGGCAAACCCUGAGGCUUUACCGUGUGUCAUGAUGUUAGCCAUUAGCUGAGAAAGAAUUUACAAGUAAGUUUAUCCUUCUCGUCAAUGUACGUAUUAUAUCUUAUAUCUUGUCCUUUUUAUAAGAUGAAUCUUUACAUCCUACAGCGGAUCUUGAGACAAGAACCGGGAAACAACUUAUGUGGAUACUACGUUUGCGAGUAUAUUAUGGCAGUAACAAAUAGAAUUCCUAAAGAAUACCUCAGAGUAUGUAACACAUGUCUCUUUUUAUUUUCUCUCGAAUUACUAUUGAUAAUCUUGAUAUAACUAAUACCUUCUUUUAAUUCAAAUUGAAGACUGAAUGGUUAAAGUAAAAACUUAUGCAACAUGAACAACUCAAAGCAAUACAAGAGGCAAUAACAGGAUUUCUUCGGGAACAAGUCAUAAAUCUAAGCGGCGAGUUCCACUAUAAUCGAAGAUGAUUCCAAACAAUGAUGAUCAUUUGUAUGCUUUGUAGAUCUUUGGAUGAUGAAGUACAACUUGUAAUAGGUUUAGAGUAUUAACUUUGGAGUACAACUUAUGUAGUAAUAGAUUUGAAGAACAACUUCUAUAUAUUUAUGUGCA